rnacentral:lncRNA from 1 species
GGCAGUGGGUGGAGCUUUGCUCGGCAAGAUUCGGAACUCACGCUCGUGGCAGCUAGGGCUUAGGGCGGCGCAACCGGGAAGUAACCGAGGGCGGUAGGGGAACCCCUUGCACUUUAUAGGACACCGGUACCCUCGAAUCGUACCAAAUCCCGUGAGAUUAGGAGUUGGGAUGCGAUUUCCUACCCGGAUGAAUCCGGCCUCCUCACGGCGCAAGGUAGGGGACGGCUGACAGCUGGGUCCCAGUUGUCGGUGAGAGAAGAGAGGGAGAAAGGUGCUGCCGUGUGGGCCAUAUGCGCCAGAGAGAGAGAUAGGGAGAGGGCGAAGCGCGCGCGGGCCUGGCCGCUGGGCCGCUCACGGGCCGAACGCAGGGGAAAGCUUGCGCGUACGGGGGUGGACUUGGGCCGCGGCUUUGCUAGGCUGAGCUGGGAUCAGGCUGGCUCCUUUCUCUUUUCUUCUUCUUUUUUUUUCUUCAUUGUUUUCUUUUCUAUUUUAUUUUCCAAAGCCUUUUCUAAAUAAUAUUUUAAAUGCAAAUAAAUUCAAGCCAGAGGCAAACAAUACAAAAUAAAAUAUUCUUCAGCAUGAAUGCAUAAACAAGUUUCUAAUCUUAUGAUAAAUUUUAAUUUUGACAAAAAAAUAUUUAAGUGCUAAAUUUAAAUGCGCACAAAAAUACUUAAUUAAAUCAAAUUAAAUUCUAUUAAUUGAAAAUUGAAUUUUGGGUGUUACAAACUCUACCCCUGUUAAAAUGAAUCUCGUCCUCGAGAUUCGGAAGAGGCACGGAUUCCAAGGAGAUACAGGAGAAAGAUAUUGGUAACUAGUUCCACUUCACAUCUUGCACUCCAAGAUAAACACUUAUGUCUCAGGAUCACAACUUGUGAAUUAAAGUUUUCAUGGAAUGUCUAUUAUUCAUAAAUGAUCAAGGUCCCUCUUGACUGCCAACUUUUUGACUUACCACUCAAAGACAUGAUAGCUUAGCAUAGAUCUGCCUCCUUAGGUAGGAGUGGACCACCUUGAUACUCAAUUCUCUUCCCUGAUGCUACGGUUACGUAAAUUUUCCACUGGGUAGCAUAGAACACUCCUUUGUGUGCACAUAACCAUAAGAUAUCUCAGAAGAUAGUUAUCACUUCAUGAUAGUUUUAAAAUGCCUCAUCCCGUAAUAUCAAGGUGCUACCCCCCUUAAAAUGAGAUUGAUUGGGGGACACUAAGGACUAGUUCUCGUAUCCUUUUUGGACGCUACACAUCAUAGUCUUUUACAUUUGUUGUACCGAGUCUCUUGAUCCAAGGUUAGUUUCAUCACUAAGUUCCAAUUAUCGGUACCUUUAUCCCAG